UGAGGAACAUGACCUUCGGCGGGGGAUAGCCGGCCCAACGGCCGGGUAAUACCGCGUACGACCACAUGGGGACAUCCCUGAGUGGUGAAAGCAGCAAUGCGCCGAUGGAGUGCCUCGCGGCCUAUCAGCUAGUUGGUGAGGUAACGCUCACCAAGGCGACGACGGGUAGCUGGUCUGAGAGGAUGAUCAGCCACACGUGGGACUGAGACCACGGCCCAGAUCCCGUAACGGGG
rnacentral:rRNA from 1 species